rnacentral:rRNA from 1 species
GCAUAAGCUUGAUAAGGGCGUAUGGGGGAUGCCUAGGCUCUCAGAGGCGAAGAAGGACGUGAUAAGCUGCGAAAAGCUGCGGGGAUUGGCACAUACGAAUUGAUCCGCAGAUAUCCGAAUGGGGCAACCCGGUAUAUUGAAGAUAUAUCACCCGAAAGGGGGCGAACCCGGCGAACUGAAACAUCUAAGUAGCCGGAGGAGAAGAAAACAAUAGUGAUUACGCUAGUAGUGGCGAGCGAACGCGUAGUAGCCCAAACCAAUUAGUUUACGGACUAAUUGGGGUUGUAGGACCACGACAUUGUUAUUAGUAUGAACUAGAAUGCUUUGGAAAGAGCAACCAUAGAAGGUGACAGUCCAGUAUAGGUAAAAUAUUAAUAAUAUAGUGGUAUCCUGAGUAGUGCGGGGCACGUGAAACCCUGUAUGAAUUAGGCGGGACCAUCCGCUAAGGCUAAAUACUCCUGAGAGACCGAUAGUGAACCAGUACCGUGAGGGAAAGGUGAAAAGAACCCUGAACAAGGGAGUGAAAUAGACCCUGAAACCAUACGCUUACAAGCGGUCGGAGCCCAUAAGGGUGACGGCGUGCCUUUUGCAUAAUGAGCCUACGAGUUACCAGUAUCAGCGAGGUUAAGCCCUUCAGGGGUGUAUCCGUAGCGAAAGCGAGUCUGAAUAGGGCGUAUAGUUGGUAUUGGUAGACGCGAAACCGAGUGAUCUACCCAUGGGCAGGUUGAAGCUUUGUUAACCCAAAGUGGAGGACCGAACCCGUUGACGUUGAAAAGUCUUGGGAUGACCUGUGGGUAGGGGUGAAAGGCCAAUCAAACUCGGAAAUAGCUCGUACUCCCCGAAAUGCAUUUAGGUGCAGCGGUAAUAAAGUUUUAUAGAGGUAGAGCUACUGAUUGGAUGCGGGGGCUUCACCGCCUACCAAUUCCUGACAAACUCCGAAUGCUAUAAAAUGAUUAUUACCAGUGAGGGCAUGGGUGCUAAGGUCCAUGUCCGAGAGGGAAAGAACCCAGACCAUCAGCUAAGGUCCCCAAAUGUAUGUUAAGUUGAAUAAACGCGGUUGAACUGCUUAGACAGCUAGGAUGUUGGCUUGGAAGCAGCCAUUCAUUUAAAGAGUGCGUAACAGCUCACUAGUCGAGCGGUUCGGCAUGGAUAAUAAUCGGGCAUAAACAUACUACCGAAGCUAUGGAUUUCAUAUUAGAUAUGGAGUGGUAGGGGAGCAUUGUAAUUGAUUAGAAGGUGAACUGUGAGGUUUGCUGGAUUAAUUACAAAAGAAAAUGUAGGCAUAAGUAACGAUAAUGCGGGCGAGAAACCCGCACGCCGAAAGACCAAGGUUUCCUCAGCUAUGCUAAUCAGCUGAGGGUUAGUCGGGACCUAAGGCGAACCCGAAAGGGGUAGUCGAUGGACAAGCAGUUAAUAUUCUGCUACCUGCUUUAUAUUAAAAGAGACGGAGUUGAGAAUUAGGUGCGUGCUGACGGAAAUGCACGUUGAAGUAUUUGUUAAGAAUACGAUAGUACACUUAAGCUACGGCGGCGGUGAUAAUCCUAAGGAUGAACUUCCAAGAAAAUCGAAUAAAGCAGCCCGUACCCUAAACCGACACAGGUGGUUGGGAAGAGAAUUCUAAGGCGCUCGAGAGAUUCAUGGCUAAGGAACUAGGCAAAAUCGACCCGUAACUUCGGGAGAAGGGUCGCCUUCCCUCNNNNNNNNNNNNNNNNNNNNNNNNNNNNNNNNNNNNNNNNNNNNNNNNNNNNNNNNNNNNNNNNNNNNNNNNNNNNNNNNNNNNNNNNNNCCUUCCUCCGGGGAGGCCGCAGUGAAUAGGUCCAGGCGACUGUUUAUCAAAAACACAGGGCUCUGCAAAAUCGAAAGAUGACGUAUAGGGCCUGACACCUGCCCGGUGCCGGAAGGUUAAGAGGAGAUGUUAGCAUUAGCGAAGCAUUGAAUUGAAGCCCCGGUAAACGGCGGCCGUAACUAUAACGGUCCUAAGGUAGCGAAAUUCCUUGUCGGGUAAGUUCCGACCUGCACGAAUGGUGCAACGAUCUGGACACUGUCUCGGCCAUGAGCUCGGUGAAAUUGUAGUAUCGGUGAAGAUGCCGAUUACCCGCUGUGGGACGAAAAGACCCCGUGAACCUUUACUAUAGCUUAGUAUUGUUUUUGGAUAAGUGAUGUGUAGGAUAGGUGGGAGACAUUGAAAUAGCUUCGCUAGGAGUUAUGGAGUCAUUGUUGAAAUACCACCCUUUACUUAUUUGAAGGCUAACUUCCUACUUGGAAGGACAGUGCUUGGUGGGUAGUUUGACUGGGGUGGUCGCCUCCAAAAGAGUAACGGAGGCUUCUAAAGGUUCCCUCAGCACGCUUGGUAACCGUGCGUAGAGUGCAAUGGCAUAAGGGAGCUUGACUGAGAGACAAACAGGUCGAUCAGGUACGAAAGUAGAGCAUAGUGAUCCGGUGGUUCCGCAUGGAAGGGCCAUCGCUCAAAGGAUAAAAGGUACUCCGGGGAUAACAGGCUGAUCUCCCCCAAGAGCUCACAUCGACGGGGGGGUUUGGCACCUCGAUGUCGGCUCGUCACAUCCUGGGGCUGGAGAAGGUCCCAAGGGUUGGGCUGUUCGCCCAUUAAAGUGGCACGCGAGCUGGGUUCAGAACGUCGUGAGACAGUUCGGUCUCUAUCUACAGUGGGCGUUAGAAAUUUGAGUGGAUCUGACUCUAGUACGAGAGGACCGAGUUGGACAAACCUCUAGUGUACCUGUUGUUUCGCCAGAAGCAUCGCAGGGUAGCUACGUUUGGAAGGGAUAAGCGCUGAAAGCAUAUAAGCGCGAAACCCACCACAAGAUGAGAUUUCUUUAAAGGGUCGUGAGAGACGAUCACGUUGAUAGGCUACAGGUGUAAAGGCAGUAAUGUCAUAGCCGAGUAGUACUAAUAACCCGUAUAGCUUAUGCAC